UACGAAGGUGGCUAGCGUUGCUCGGAAUCACUGGGCGUAAAGGGUGCGUAGGCGGGUUUUUAAGUCAGGGGUGAAAUCCUGGAGCUCAACUCCAGAACUGCCUUUGAUACUGAAGAUCUUGAGUUCGGGAGAGGUGAGUGGAACUGCGAGUGUAGAGGUGAAAUUCGUAGAUAUUCGCAAGAACACCAGUGGCGAAGGCGGCUCACUGGCCCGAUACUGACGCUGAGGCACGAAAGCGUGGGGAGCAAACAGG
rnacentral:rRNA from 1 species